ensembl:lincRNA
GAAACUGUAUGUGGAAAUUAUCGAUGUAAAAACAGGAUUGCAGGCAAAAGACAGCUGUAUACUACCACCUUGUGGCUGACCUAUUCAUGUGUAUUUUCAGGUUAAUUGCUACAAAGAAGAGUUGGUAAAAUGUAUGCAAAUCAGCAACAUAUACAUUUUGAUGUCUCCGUCAUUAUACAUGCAUAAAAUGGUAGCGUUAGAGGUGGUUUUACAGUUUCUUAAACCUUAGGCAAAGAGAAAACCAUCAGGUUUAAAUAGGGCUGGACUUAAUUUCUCAGGUAAUAAUAAUAACUUAAUCUGAAGUUGUUUCAGGGUUCUUCAGUGUACUUAGGUUUGCUUCUGACUUCUAGAGGAGUUAUGACCUACCAAGCUUUAGGUACCGUGUUUCUGAUCCUUUGCUCUCUGUAAACAUCUAACUUAAGUCACUCAUUGCUUAUUCCCUACUACAAGACUCCUUCAGAUCCUGGUAUCUGCCUUUGCCAAUUCUAGUCCCAUGGACUGAUGUUUAUCACAAUGAGUCUUAAUUGACUACAUGUUCUGUCACUGUUCUUCCCUGGGGAGUCACUCCAGGGCAACACUUAGGAGAACAUCUGCUUUGGUCCAUUUUCUAUUCAUAAUACAGGACUGAAAGACUGGGUACAUCAUAAAGAAAAGAGGUUCCUUUUGGUUCAAAGUUGGGUUCUAAGGUUAAGGGAACAAAUUUAGGUAAGGUAUUCUAGAUAGCACUGUCCAUGUAGAGUACUUAGGAAAUGGAGAAAACCAUAUGACAAGAUAAGGCCAGUCCACAUGUACGCUCAAUUCUCCCUCUGCCCUAUUAUGGUUAGAACGAAAAAGUGUCCCCAUAGGCUCAUGUAUUUGCACACUUGGUCAUCAUGUUGUAGCAGUAUUUGGGAAGUGAUCAAUCCUUUAGGAGGUGCAGCGUUGCUGGAGGAAGUGCAUCACUGGGAGCAGUCUUUGAAGGAUUAUAGCACCGUCCUCACUUCCUGCUCUGUCUUUGUCUCUGCCCCUCUCUCUGCCUCCUGUAUGUGGUUGACAUGUCAUCUCUCACUUUGCUGCUCUUGCCAUUAUGGAUCUCUAACCUCCUGGAACUAUAAGCCAAAAUAAACUCUCCUUUAAGUUGCUUUUGGUCGUGGUAUUUUAUCUCAGCAACAACAACAAAAAAUAACAAAUAACUCCCCAACAUUGUAAAGUCUUCAGCAUUGUCUUUCUCAUAGUAGUCUCUAUCAUGGCCUUAUCUCCUCCUAAUCACUGGUAAAGUCCUUGCCUCUGAAUACUACAGCUGGAUCAUGUUUCUAUUGUUGGGCUACCUCAUAAUCAUGAAACUUCAUCAUGAGUUUUAGUGGUGACAACACAUACAAAAACCAUAACAGCAGCAUGUCCUCACUAGGCUCUACUUUGGUUUUGGCCUCCAAAGACCUCAAAAAAGGUUGCUUUCCCUAAUGGGAUUGUAUAUCAGGAUCCUUUUAAGUAACUCACUUCCCUCCUAGUAUGUGGCCUUUCUCCUUCAGGUUUUAGGGAGAAAAAGCUAACCUAAGACAACACUCCUUGAAAUAAAAGGCCACAAAUCACCUAUCUAAACAAGAAGAGGCUAGAGGAGUAGAAAAUGUCGGUGGUAAGGAGAAAAAGGGUGGAAGAAAGUAUAACAGCAAUUACAAAGCAAUGGGGCUACGUCUCAAGAGUCUAUUCCUCUAGUAGGGUAAUUUCACAGAGAGUCCUCCAGAGUACCUUACAGAACUCUCUGUGGCAGCGUGCUGGUAUUGCAUGAGUUGUUUGUAAGUAUGCUAAAGCGUUGAUAACACCAGUGCUUGGACAGCUAAGAUAGAAACUGGAGCUGUCCUAGUCAGUUUUCUUGGCCCAGUUGCUUCUGGACACAAUAACCCUUAUCUAUAUCUCUUUAUAGUAAUCAGAACACACUAAUUUUUUUUUAAAUAAAAGUUUUCAUGAAGUCUAGUUUAGCCUCAAAGUCUUUAUGAAGUGGGAGCUGAUCUUGAACUCCCGAUUCUCCUGUUUCCAAUUACUGAGAUUACAGGCAUGCGCCACUGCCCACAAAAGACUAUGUUAACUUUUUAUUUGUUAGCUAUUGUUGUAUAACAAACCAAACCCAAAACUUAUGGCUUACUAUAAUGUGCAUUUUAUUUGUCCAUGAAUUCUGUGGGUGAAAACUUUAGAUGUUAUGUCAAGGAGAGGCUUUUGAUCUUACUUUGGGUCAUAUAUGUGCCUCCUCCAUCCCCUGUCUGCAACUUGUUGGAAGGCAUAUUUUUCCAAUAUGUAGUCUUUCAUAUACCUAGUCAUUGGUGUUGACUAGUGUGUACAUUAGUGUAUCCCUAAGCCUUUAUAAGCUAGCCUCCACUUCUUUACAUGGGGGAAGCAGAAUGCCUAACAGUAAAGGAGGCUAAGUACGAAUGUACAGGUAUCAUUCAAACCUCUGGUCAUUGAGGCCACUGUAGUCAAAGGUUCACAGCUGAAGGGCACAGUCACUGUAAGUAUGUAAAGAUUCGAGUACAAGGAAGUGUGAUUCAUCAGGAGUAAUUCAUGCAAGAACUGCCACGGUGCUAUAAACAAACAUUCCCAACACUCAGUGGUUCCCACAAUCAAUUGUCAUUUCUCACUAAUGUCAAACCAAAUUGGUAAGACGACUGUCAGAAUCAUAAUGGAAUCCUGGACUCUUCUAUAUAGUGUAUCUAUCACCGACUAAGAAUGUCCCUAAGACAAGGAAAAGCAGAAAAUGCAGGCAUGACAGAAGGGUUUAGAGACAAAGCUCAGAAGUGAUAUAUGUUGCUACUAGCAACGUUCCAAUGGGUAACUCUUAGCCAUGUGACUUACAGUUAACUCAAUGUCCAAAAUUAAUAUAAUGUCCAAAAUAUAGUGCACACAUUUAUUGGUGAGCACUGCAACUCACUGACAUGAUUAAUAAUGGCAAAUUGAAAUAAAAAGGGACAACAUUGUUUUAAACUAAGUUCUUAGACCAGAAUCCAACAAGCCAUAAAGAAAACCCAAGUAAAGUUAUAAGCCACCAAACUGAAACUAAGCUGUUCUCUGGUUUUGUGAAAUUAUAAGAGGGAAAGGAGAGAUGGAGUCAAAGAAAGAAGGAAAGGAGAGGAUUGGAGAGAAAGAAGGGGAAGUGAGAGCAGAUGUGGGGAGGGAGCCAGCACAUUUCCCCAGGAAAGCCAGUUUCAGUUAGCCUGAGAAAAUUUUCUCUACUUUAGUCUUUACAACUUAAUCAGUUAAUAAACAAGACACAGUACCAGCAGCUAGGUAUGCCUACAGUCCCGGCAUUCAGGAGGUUAAGGCGAAAGGACAGUGAGUUCCAGGCUAGCCUGCUCCACAUAGUAAGACCUC